rnacentral:rRNA from 1 species
AAAGACGAAGCCGUGAUGUGGAGCGAAAAGAAGUAGCGAAGCAUGUGCCCCCUCCUGUCGAGAAAAGCCGCUAUUGUUUGCCAUGCGCCCGUACCGUAAACCGACACAGGUGGAUGAGGAGAGAAUCCUAAGGCCGGCGGGAGAAGCAUUGUCAAGGAACUCGGCAAAAUGACCCCGUAACUUCGGGAGAAGGGGUGCCCACGCAAGUGGGCCGCAGAGAAUAGGCUCAAGCAACUGUUUAGCAAAAACACAGGUCUAUGCGAAACCGUAAGGUGAUGUAUAUGGGCUGACGCCUGCCCGGUGCUGGAAGGUUAAGAGGAGAGGUUAGCUUCGGCGAAGCUUUGAAUCCAAGCCCCAGUAAACGGCGGCCGUAACUAUAACGGUCCUAAGGUAGCGAAAUUCCUUGUCGGGUAAGUUCCGACCCGCACGAAAGGCGUAAUGAUUUGAGCGCUGUCUCGACAAUGCACCCGGUGAAAUUGAAGUACCAGUGAAGAUGCUGGUUACCCGCGCCAGGACGGAAAGACCCCAUGGAGCUUUACUCCAGUUUGGUACUGGAGCCUGGUAUUGCAUGUACAGGAUAGGUGGGAGCUUAUGAACCUGGGACGCCAGUCUCAGGGGAGGCGCUGUUGGGAUACCACCCUUGCAAUAUCGGGUUUCUAACCAGCCGCCGUGAUCCGGCGGUGGGACAAUGCCAGGCGGGGAGUUUGACUGGGGCGGUCGCCUCCGAAAGGGUAUCGGAGGCGCUCAAAGUUUCCCUCAUAAUGGUCGGAAACCAUUAGAAGAGUGCAAAGGCAGAAGGGAGGCUGACUGCGACACCGACGGGUGGAGCAGGUACGAAAGUAGGACUUAGUGAUCCGGUGGCAUAAAGUGGGAUUGCCAUCGCUCAACGGAUAAAAGCUACCCUGGGAUAACAUGCUUAUCACUCCCAAGAGUUCACAUCGACGGAGUGGUUUGGCACCUCGAUGUCGGCUCAUCGCAUCCUGGGGCUGUAGCAGGUCCCAAGGGUUGGGCUGUUCGCCCAUUAAAGCGGUACGCGAGCUGGGUUCAGAACGUCGUGAGACAGUUCGGUCCCUAUCCGGCGCGGGCGUAGGAUAUCUGAGGGGAGCUGGCCUUAGUACGAGAGGACCGGGCUGGACGGACCACUGGUGUACCGGCUGUCAUGCCAAUGGCAUCGCCGGGUAGCCAAGUCCGGAAGGAAUAAACGCUGAAGGCAUCUAAGCGUGAAGUUCCCCCCAAGAUGAGAUAUCCCAUUCUUUUAAAGAAGUAAAAACCCUUGAAGAGUACGAGGUAGAUAGGACAGAGGUGGAAGUGUGGCAACACAUGGAGCUGACUGUUACUAAUCGUUUGAGGGCUUGACCU